AUUACACAAUACAUUACCAGUCCCAGACACGACCCAGCGCGACUCUCCUGGCGAGACGGGCGCAACUCGAAACCGGUCCGCGGAGUCCUGGUACGAGAGGCAGGGCGUGAAUCGAUUAGACGCCGGUCCUAAAGAAUAUUAUCGAUCGCACGAAUACGUAUACGCGAGCGCGCGUAUAAUACGAUUAUAAUACGUAAAUUAUACGUACGUACGCGCGCGGUGACGGGUCGAAGAGGAGAAGCGGAGGGAGGAGAGAGAACGAGGGAGAGCGAGGACAAAACAGGUCCUCCACGUAAUGGAAAAUAAGAUUUAUGCCGUCGUCGGAGUCGUUUAUACCGGAGAGAACUGCGCAGUUCAUUUCUAUCUGGUAUUAUACGGGCCCUGUUAAAUAAUUACCGGGUUCCUUUUUUUUUCUUUCUUUCUUUCUCUUCUCUUCAUUUAUUUUCCUUCUCCUGCCGCUUGCACCGCACUGCACCGCGACCGCCGAGGAGACGUGCACUACAAAUCGGACAGAGUGCUCGUCGCGGUGUCGCGCCUAGCCACAACGGUCCACCCUCCCGUCGGCCAAGUACCGGCGGGCAACGAUUGAAUAAUGGGCGACAAGUCGCGUAAACUCGUCGCUCUCGACCGGCCGCGGGGUAACACACGGUAGCGGUCCGCAUCCGUCGUUGCGCCUACCACCGUUGUACGUGUGUGCACGUGUGCACCGGCGUUUUUCGUCACGCAAAAAUAGUACGAUAUGAAAAUUUAAAUAUGAAUAUAGAAUAAUUAAAAGAUUUCAUACAUUCAAUAUAUUUUAUGUGUUGGUUUAAAAUUUCAACUCGUUUUAUCUAAUAUAUAUUCCAUCGUGGUCAAUUUGUUAACAAAAGCCAGUACUGAUAUGGUACCAGAUUGGCUUCUCUUUCUCGAUCACAUUUCCGCUGUAUUGCUUCAGUACCAUUCUUAAACCUUCGCAUUUUGCGCUUAACUUGUUGUUCUAUUAAAACAUCGAUAUAAAAAAUAUAAAAUAUUUACUACCAAUGUUUCGAUAGACAGUUUUUUUUUUUAUACGUAUAACUUGGAAAACAGAUGGAUGUGCCGUAUAAAAUUCAUACCGAAAUUAGUCGAUCCAGCACCGUUGGUCGUUCUUUUUGUACCGUUAGGUUCUUCAAGCCACCAUCGAAGGAGGAUGUUGUUCAGUGUCGGUAUGAUUUUCAAUUACAUGAUUAGAAAAUGCCGUGGAUUUUUGAUGUUUUGGAUCUCCAGAUAAAAUUUCAUAAAAAUCGUCGGAAACCGAAUUUACCGGUAAACAAGGUAAUCCAUAUUGUCGAUAAGCGAUGACAGUCGUUCAAAAUAUACGUGUGCGGUAAUGGGAAUUUGAAAUAUGUGUACGGUUUUGUCCCGUGAGUUUUUCGCGCGUUUGUGCGGUAACGGGUGACGCUCAUGUAUACGCUGUCGCGCGCGCGUUCGAUAGAAGGACGAUAGGACGCCACCAGGACAACAGGACCACAGGUUAACCGAAAUAAUCGCCGCUUUUACUAAUACUAGAUGUUAUCGUGAUUUUUCCGGUUUAAAAAAUUCGUGUCGGUCGCGAUUAGCUCCUGUUGCGUUUCAACAAACGAUUUUCCAUUGUUAUUAGUAUUUAUUUCUUUUUCUACCAUUAUUAUUAUUUAUUCGCGCGCGAUAAAACUCAUGAUGUUAUUACAUCGUGUCACACGAUUUCGAUUCGACCAUGUUUCUGUUCUUCGAUACGGUUGGACUUGAAACGAUCUUAUUGAACCAUUUUUAUUUUUUGUUUUACUUUGUUUUCGACACAUAUUAUAUGUUUGUACACAUUUUUUAUGAUAGUUAAUCUGACACAAAAACCAAUACUUAAAGAUAAG
rnacentral:lncRNA from 1 species